rnacentral:rRNA from 1 species
GACGAACGCUGGCGGCGUGCUUAACACAUGCAAGUCGAACGGUAAGGCCCUUCGGGGUACACGAGUGGCGAACGGGUGAGUAACACGUGGGUGAUCUGCCCUGCACUUCGGGAUAAGCCUGGGAAACUGGGUCUAAUACCGGAUAGGACUCCGGACUGCAUGGUCUGGGGUGGAAAGCUUUUGCGGUGUGGGAUGGGCCCGCGGCCUAUCAGCUUGUUGGUGGGGUGAUGGCCUACCAAGGCGACGACGGGUAGCCGGCCUGAGAGGGUGACCGGCCACACUGGGACUGAGAUACGGCCCAGACUCCUACGGGAGGCAGCAGUGGGGAAUAUUGCACAAUGGGCGAAAGCCUGAUGCAGCGACGCCGCGUGAGGGUUGACGGCCUUCGGGUUGUAAACCUCUUUCAGCAUCGACGAAGCGAAAGUGACGGUAGGUGCAGAAGAAGGACCGGCCAACUACGUGCCAGCCGCCGCAGUAA